CGGCGGGGGGGGCCGCGGAGCCGCCGGGGGGGCGCAACCGCCGCCCCUCCUGCCGCCAAGCUCUACGGGCGGCGGUUCCGGGGGUCAGGCCGCCGGUGCCGCCCCCACCCCGCUGUUACCGGGGUCCGCUGGCAAGAUGGAGCCCGAGAACAAGUACCUGCCCGAGCUGAUGGCCGAGAAGGACAGCCUCGACCCGUCCUUCACGCACGCCAUGCAGCUCCUCACUGCAGAAAUUGAAAAAAUUCAGAAGGGGGAAACAACAAAGAAGGAUGAGGAAGAGAACUACCUGGAUUUAUUUUCCCACAAGAAUAUGAAACUGAAAGAACGAGUUCUGAUACCUGUCAAACAGUACCCCAAGUUCAACUUCGUUGGAAAGAUUUUGGGACCUCAAGGCAACACCAUCAAGAGACUUCAGGAAGAAACCGGUGCUAAGAUAUCUGUGCUUGGGAAGGGUUCAAUGCGAGAUAAAGCAAAGGAGGAAGAGCUGCGUAAAGGGGGAGAUCCUAAAUAUGCUCAUCUAAAUAUGGAUUUGCAUGUCUUCAUUGAAGUGUUUGGACCCCCUUGUGAAGCGUAUGCUCUGAUGGCUCACGCCAUGGAAGAAGUCAAGAAGUUCCUCGUUCCGGAUAUGAUGGAUGAUAUCUGUCAGGAGCAGUUCUUGGAGCUCUCCUAUCUCAACGGUGUACCGGAGCCAACUCGCGGGCGAGGAGUCCCUGUGAGGGGAAGGGGAGCAGCUCCACCGCCGCCUCCGCCUGUUCCAAGGGGCCGUGGUGUUGGGCCUCCCCCUCCUCCUCCUCGGGGGGCCCUGGUGCGAGGAGCCCCGGUGCGGGGGGCCAUUGCCAGGGGAGCUGCAGUAGCCCGCGGGGUUCCUCCUCCCCCAGCAGUACGGGGGGCUCCUGCACCCAGAGCACGAGCAGCUGGCAUCCAGAGAAUACCGCUUCCUCCUCCCCCCGCCCCAGAAACCUAUGAGGAAUAUGGCUACGAUGACGCAUACGCAGACCAGAGCUAUGAGGGGUAUGAAGGCUACUACAGCCAGGGCCAAGGGGACACAGAAUACUAUGAUUAUGGACACGGGGAGGCACAGGAAACCUAUGAAGCUUAUGGGCAAGACGACUGGAACGGGACCCGGCCCUCCCUGAAGGCCCCUCCGGCCAGGCCAGUGAAGGGGGCCUACAGAGAGCACCCAUACGGACGUUAUUAAACAAAAACAAACAAAACACAAACAUGAGGGAAAAAUAUCAGUUAUGAGCAAACAGUUGUUACUGAUUCUUGUAUCUCCCGGGAUUCCCGUUGCUUUACCCACACCAGACAAGAGUCGAGAGCUGGUCGCUGGGAAUCACUUGGGGGACGACGAACCGGGGCAACGCCAAGUGGGCACAGCUUUUAUAUCAAGUGGAAAAGAUUUGAUAGAGAUCAUCUAUUAUGGUGCAGUUUUUUACCCAUAGAAGUGGAUCUUGUGGCGCUGCCUUUGGAGUAACCCAGCUUGCUUGUGCAUUGCUUGUCUCGCGUGUUUAUGAGAGAUAUUUGAAUGUUAUGGAGGAAUGUAAAUCUUAAUAUAUUGAAAAUAACUGUAUAUGCCAAAAGUAUUAUGAAAACAUGCCCUGCAUCGGAUGUCUUCCUCGCUCUCAUAGCAUUACUAUGUUCAGAUUUUAGCCUAGAGUCUGCAAAAGCUAAUUUGAGAUCCCAAAAUAGCCAUCAGCAUCGGAUGUGUCUCUCAGAGAUGUGCUCUAAUUAGCCAGACAUUCCGGGGGUGAUACGGGACUCGCUGAAAUUUCUGAGGGGUAGAGAUUCCUUUGAGUACUCAAGUCUGAGUCACCUAAAUAACCUGAAUAACCUUCCCUUUUCGACUGCCGCCGCUGGAGGUGGUAUCUGCUGGCUGGGAGCUAACGAGCCACCGGUGAUUUUUCAUCUCCUGAUUUCCCCAAAGGGCUAAUCCACCUCUUAUUAUUUGUAGGAUUUUGGUAAAGACCAUAAACAAGAGCUUGGUGCUGCAGAGAACCUGAGCUCCAUAAACACCCUCCUGCUGCAGAGCCCUCUGUCACCUUCUCGGGGUGGCCACGGCUCCUUCAGCCUCUAAGCCCAGCCCUUUGGGCUAAAUAUUCGUGCUGGAUUUGCUUGGAGCUGGUACAAAUCUGGGCUUUAGGCUUCCUCGGGGAGGUCUCGUGGUUCACGGCCGGUGUCUCGGGCAGCGUGAAACUGAGCCCGCAGGGAGAAGGCUCCAGCUGGAAUUGCAGAGACGGCCCCAGCAGCUUUUCCUGGAAGGAGACUGGCACGGCCUGCCCGCUCCUUACCCCUGGUUUCAAGUUGCUGCUGGGAUUAUUAAAGAAAGCGAUGGCUACAAGCUUUAUUUUAUAACUCUAGCGAGGGUAUUUUUAUGUUUAACCUCGCCUCGCUGAAAGCACGGUGUUUUAAGAGAUUGCCUUGGUAUGUCCCUCUCUAAAAUUCUGUAUUUGGUACGUUGGGUUUAGGAGCACAGCUGGAUUCCCCGGGCAGCUGUUAAAGCAGGCGCCUCUUUUUGUACAGAAUGAGUUCUUAAAUUUGUAUGAGAGCAUCUGUCAUGACCAGCGCCAAGAAAAACCCUUUAAUCGUGCGCCUCCUCCCUUCCUCAGCCCACACCACGGCUCUUCCUGAGGGACACGUGGGGCUGAGGGCAUUUCCACAGCCCGUGACAGACCCUCCUGAGGGUCCCAGGGAGAAGGGACCAGCUGUGACCCAUCUGCUGGGAGACACAGGGGACAUGGGGCAGCGCUGCCCACACCGCUCCUCCCUCCACAAGUACAAACGGUGCUUUUGGGGACAAAGACGGGGCUUAGGGAAAUUCUUCUUUUGUUGAUAAACCCGUAACACCUCGGAUGAGGUGUUGGACACGUGCCCCUUGGUGAGCUUUGAGGGGGAGGAAUUUCCAUGAGUUUCUGCAGGCUCCCUGGGAGCUCCCGGCUCGAAUGGAGAUGUUGCUCCUCUUUUUCCUGCUGGGGAAGCUCCGUUCCUGCGAGCACGGAGCAGAAACCUUUGCUGUGGCUGCUCGGUCGAGCCUUCCGUCACCACCAUAUGGUUUUAAUAGAAAUGUUUGUUUCCACGUUCGUUUUGCUCCUUUUGCCAAGUGGGAUGAGUCUCCCGACAAGUGGAUUUCUGAUCUGAUAAAGGAACCUCCUUCAGACGCCGUUGGAAAAUAGGAACCUGCCAGCUCUGGGUGAGCGAUGGAGAACACUGGAGCCUCCCUUGGCGCAGCAAACGCUGGAGAGCAGCAACUUUGUGGCGGAAUACUGAAAUAGAAAGUAUUUUCUAAUGAACUUGUUACUUUUUACCACUUGUUUUAGAAAGAAAUACAACCAAAGGCUCAUACAUGGUACUGCAGAUGCAAACCUAUUUUUUUACCUGACACUGGAACAUCAACCUGUCACCUCUAUAGUUGGACCUGGAGGAUUCUGUUAAAAUCCAUCUGGAUGCUCCUGGGUUUUGAUAGCUCUGCACGUCAUAGUUUUCAAAACCAGGAAGAAAUUAAGAGAUUGGCCUUGUGAAAGUUCAUUAAACUUCAUUAAAGCCCUCAUAAGGUGGCUUUGCCUCCAGCCCUGGCAGGGGUGGUUGUGGGGAUUGUGUAAUGCUCCAUCUGUCCUGAAGCAUCGAACACCCACGAGUUGAGGGAAUCGAUGGAAAAUGCUGUGCGGGGCUGGUAAAACUGCUGAAAACUGAUCAAGGUGAAUCACAGCGUUAAAAUAACUUGUAUGGGAAACUGGCAAGCUCUUCCGCGGCUGGUAUUUAGCGAGAAGUGCUCAGCAGAUGUUGAAAACGAUUAGUCACCCCCUAUAAUAAAGGAUUAACGUGGAAA